rnacentral:rRNA from 1 species
AUUGAACGCUGGCGGCAUGCUUUACACAUGCAAGUCGAACGGUAACAGGCCGCAAGGUGCUGACGAGUGGCGGACGGGUGAGUAAUGCAUCGGAACGUGCCCAGUCGUGGGGGAUAACGCAGCGAAAGCUGCGCUAAUACCGCAUACGAUCUAUGGAUGAAAGCGGGGGACCGUAAGGCCUCGCGCGAUUGGAGCGGCCGAUGUCAGAUUAGGUAGUUGGUGGGGUAAAGGCUCACCAAGCCAACGAUCUGUAGCUGGUCUGAGAGGACGACCAGCCCCACUGGGACUGAGACACAGCCCAGACUCCUACGGGAGGCAGCAGUGGGGAAUUUUGGACAAUGGGCGCAAGCCUGAUUCAGCAAUGCCGCGUGCAGGAAGAAGGCCUUCGGGUUGUAAACUGCUUUUGUACGGAACGAAAAGGCUCUGGAUAAUACCUGGGGCUCAUGACGGUACCGUAAGAAUAAGCACCGGCUAACUACGUGCCAGCCGCCGCCGUAAAAC